rnacentral:lncRNA from 1 species
GGACACAUCUCUCCACAUAGGGACCUAAGUUCCUGAAGGAUGAGGAUGGUCAUUCCUUUACUUGACUCUCCAGAGCAGCCGCUCCACUUACCAGCAUACAGUUUCUUUCUGGACAGUCUCAACUGUGCUGAUCACGUCACCUUCAUGUGUAGUCUGGGAUCUUCUUUACAUACCAAGAUAGACUCUCUUAAUACUUAGGACUGCUGUGUUAAGUGAAAGAGAAAAACAGCUCCAUGGACUAUUUUAACAAUAAACAUAAAAUAUGUUGCUUUUUGAAAAGUUAGAAAUUUCUCUUUAAGUGGUAUGAAUAUUAUAAAUUGUAAAAUGUUUUUACAUUGGACGUUAAUAUAUACUGAUUAAUAAGUAGUAUUCUUAGGAUACAUUUUUUUCCUUGGGAAUAUGCAAUUAAAAAAAUUGCAUAUUAGAAUCCACUGAAUCCCAACUGAGCU